GCGGAGGGCGCGCGGCCGCCGCCCACGCCGCGCCGCCGCCCCGCGCCACGCCGCAACCGGCGCCGGUCGGACUCCAGUCCUGAUGAGAAUGAACCUCCUAACAACAUCGGCACACCGCAGUCCGUAAGGAAAUCAAGUCGCAAAGUGACAAGAGCAAAGAAAGUUGUUUCAAAUGAUUCUGAUGAAUCGGAUGAUGACGACGUUCAAGAAAAAGACGAUGAUGAAGUAUUUAAAAAACCGCCAGCCAGAAAAACUACGCGCAGAAGAAAGUAGGUUAUAAAUGUAAAAAAUGCGUUACAGAACAAAGUUAUGGAAUACAUACUUUUAAGAAUACUACACUG